UUAAAAAAAUAUUUCUUUAUUAUAUUUGAAGGAAAAAAAAUAUAUAGUUUAUACUAACAAUUAAAUUGAUUAGCUAUAUGUACUAUUAUGUAUUAUUCAUGAGAAAAUAUUUUAUUUUUCAGUUUCUUUUUUUUUUUUUUUCUAAGAAAAUUGCAUUUGUAUUAAAUGAAAUUUUUUCAUUUAAGUAAAUUUUUUAAUCUUUAAUAUUACAUUAAUAAAAAUAUUAAAUCUAUAUUAAUUAUUAUACACAUUUUUUAAAUUCUUUGAUACUUUGAUAAUUUUAUUUCAAAUAUCAUAAUCAUAAUCGAAAUGAUGAACUUAUUAAAUUUUUAAAAGAUUUUUAAUUUUAAACUAAAAUCAUAUUUGUCACAUGAAACCUAAAGAGAUCGAUAUUAAAUCAUAACCUAUAUUUCCACUUCCCUUUCUCAUAAAUUAUAAUAUUACCUUUUUAUGUAUCUUAUACUCUUCAUAAAAAGAGAGAGAAAAAGAAAGAACAACAUGAUGAAAAAUAUGAAUCUUUCAACCAACCAAACAGUUCAUUUCGUCAUGAAAUGCUUGAAACUGAUCCAAAAACUGAGCCGUCGCGCGAUAUUGUCAGGCUUAACACCAUACGUCCGGGGAUUAUUGCUUUCACGUAUUCACGGAGUUCAUUCAUUUUUAUCCCACUUAAUUUAGACCUCGUAGCCGUGUCCAUUCCCCCAGUUUCGUUCUCUUUGAGCAAAGCAAACAAACAUAGCUGGGGAAAGCGGCAGAUCGCUCGAAUUCGCAUCGAAAUCCCGCCAAUUUCGAUAGGUUGCACUUUCUCCCAGGUUCACGGACGUUCCUCUUAAGCUUCUUUCUUUGCCCGUCAGUCGCGUCGCGAUCGGCAAAGUUUAAAGUCGAUCCAGACGACAUGGAACGUUACACUGCGUGCAAGAAGCAAUUAACCCUUUGCGUUUUGGGACAGAAAAAGGUUAUCGAUGUUACGACCUGAAACGUCUUAAAAUGACGCCCGGAAUAUCCUGCGGAAUUAAGGGAAUUUAUGUCCCCUGAAUAUUAAUGGAAGUGGAUUGAAAAUUGUGUCUUAAAUACUCUAAAUAUUAAAAAUCAUGUAUACUUAACGCUAGAAUAUAUGAUCUGGAGCAUAUAUGUAUACUUUAUAUAAAGCGAAAUAUAAAUAUAAUGGAACUGUCUCACUUUGAAAUGCAAGAUCGGUGACCUAAAAAUUUUAUUAAUUCGAAGGAUCUCAUUUCGCCUAUGUAAAAAGUAAUGAGAGCAGAUCGACAAAGAUCGGUUACAGAUCGUAUAUAAAAUCAAAGAAUAAGCAUUGUCGAGGAAUUUUACUACUUUCACUCGAUUUUCUCCAUUAUUCUUCUUCAAAAUUCAAAAACAAUGCUGGUAACACGAAUAACCAUGCGUAACAUUAUUUCAAGAAGGAUUUUAGAAUUGCUUGAAAUUGUAAUGAUCUAAAUACACUUAAGCAUAGUAUUGGAGAUUGUUAAAAUACAACUGAUCGCAAAAGCAGUUCGUGGAAGACUGAUUAGAUGAAAUUAUGUAAAUUGCUAUGAAACAUUGGUAAGUUACAGUUCAAGGUAAAAUUUAAUAUUAAAUGAUUAGAAUAAUAUUCACAUAAAGCAUAUAAAUAAAAGAGUUGGUGAAUGAAAAUGAUUUCUUUUAUGCUUUAUGAUUAUAUUCUUUUAUAUUUAAUUUUUCUGAAGAAAUUUUCAGAAACGGUUUAUAUUUAUUAUAAUGAAAAAUCGAGUAGUGUAACGAUUUUUAUCAACUGUUUUUUUAUCUGAAUCUAAUUUAAAUCAAAUCUAGAAAUGAUCAUGAAUAAAAAAUACCUGAGAAAGUAGAAUAAUUUAAUACUCAUGUUGAAUAAUUAUACUUACAAAUAAUAAUAAAAUUAAAUUAUAAUUAAUUAAAUAUUUCUAAAAAAUAUUUGCAUAUUGUUAAUGUUUUUUUCAUACAUACACUGUUACAUAGAAAAAAUAACGAUUUUUCGUUAAAUUCUAAUACUGUUAUCAUUAUGAAGUAGCGGGAUAUUAUUUAAAUCACAAAUAGCAUAUUAAAUAAGAAAUUAAUAUUGAAUUGAUGAUGAAUCAUUCUUAAUUGGCUCGUGAUUCACAGUGCAUUCAAAUAUUAACCUCAAUUUUAUAUUUUCGUUUUAUUGUGUAAAUUAUUGUUUAAAUAUUACCAAUUUUUUAUCAUCAACAUGAUUUUGAAAUUGCAAUCUUAUCAUUUAUCUUAUAUUAUUUUAGUUUAUUUAUAAUAUACAAGAAAAAUUUAUAUAAUUAUAUAGUUUUAAUAAUGCAACAGAUAAUAUAUAUUUUUAGAAUAAAAAGCAAUAUUAAUUUUUUAAUAAUUUUGAUUUUUUCUUGAGUCUCUAUAUAUCUUUAUAAACUUUUCUCAAUGUUGAUUUGACAUCAAUCUUUUUUUCAAUUUCUUUUUAUCAUGAAACGAAAAAGUCAAUCGAAGAAAUUCAAAUAAACAUUAUAUUAUUUAUUACUUGUUUUUAAAGCGAUUAAAUUUUUUAGCAAAUAAAUGGUUAACCUAAUCAUUCCAUCGUUACGCUUCAUGACGGCUCCCUUUUCUCUCAAUUUUAUUUACAUAGGAAUCAGAGGCUUAUCUUUCCAAUGGUAGCAUAAGAUGGCCGGAUAAGAAGCUGGCAAGAGAAAGGAAACGGAGGUUCUAAGGUGAAAGCUGGAUAAAUUCCAUCGUUGCUCUUGUAUUCUAUUAUUUUAAUCUUUUUUAUCCGGAAGAUUCAUCGGCUGUGAGUUAGUGGGAACUUUUGGUGAAACUAUAUAUACGAUUUCAAUUAUGAAACGCACCGGAAGUUGAAGAAUCUUGCGCUCGAAAGCGCGUUAAAUUUUCAGGAAAUUGAAAUAAUUGCUUCGAGCAAAAGCGAUAAAUUAAUUUUGAGAAUCUGAGAAUAAUUUGUUAGUUUGGACAUGUAUUUUAUAAGUUAAUUUGUCUAUCUUUAGUAUCGAAAUCAAAAAUUUAAUAAAAAUUUAAUAAUAAGAUCGAUUUAUCUAAGAAUUAAGAAAUUAAUUUCACUUUGACACGACACUUUGAUAAGACGAAGAGAUUUUUCUGAAGAACCUGAAGAACAUACACGACGAGGAACAUGAAGUGUUCUGCUCGCAUAUAUGCUGCACGUGACUAAAAUACACUUCCUUGCUUGGCCGAGUCAAAAAUAAAAAUACAACUCGUUGACGAUCGAUUUCGAUGUUCUGGAAUCGUUCGAGACAAAAAUUUCACUUUCGUAAAAUGUCUAAGAAUUAAAAAUUCAAAUUUUCUUUUUUAAAAGUUAAAAAUGUAAAAAUAAUUUAUUAGAUAAAAAUAAUUUAUUAGAUAAUAAUUAUCGAAUUACGAAUUAUAAUUAUUGAUGAAUUACUUCAUAUAUUUAUUUAAUACAUAUAUGAUAAAAACGAACGAUUUGAAAUUUUUUAUGUAUAUUUAUUUCUAUAAAUUAAAAUUAAAACAAAAUCUCGAUUAAAACCUUUUCAUUCACAAAUAAAAUUUAUUCAUUAAAUAAAAAUAUUUUUUUAAAUCACAUAUCGAAAACAUUCUGAUUUUCAUAAGAUUUCAUAAGAUUUUCAUUUUCAUAAGACAUAAAAUAAAUUCAAUUUUCAGAACGAAAAAUCUUCUAUUACAAAUAUUUUCCAAAGAAUGUAAUGAUCACAAUACGAAUUCAAAUCGGAGUUAAAGACUUUAUGCUUUCGAAUGAUCGCUUCAAGUAUACUCCUACUAUUUUAAACGCGACGCUAGCACGACAGAAUUAAAUCUCUCGAGUGCUCUUCUUUGCCCUAUUUCGGUCCAAUUGUAAGAAAUAAAGCGACAAAGCGAAUGAACGUGCCACGUAUUGUGACGGAAUAGUAUGUACCAUCGUGAGAAGUAAUCAAGAAUCUACGCGAUAUACCGUAGAAUCGAGUUUAAAUUAUUUAAACAGACUACGAAAUUUUCUUCUUAACGAGAAAUUUCUAUUUCAACAUCGAAACUGUGAUACAGAAUAAAACAGAAAUGAAACAAUUCUAUGUGAUGAAAAAUAAAUCGAAGAAGAAAAAUUAUUUUGAAGAAAAUCAAGAUUGAAUUAAAACGCGAAUUAGAUUAUUUUCUUAAAGUGGAUAGUAUGAAUAAAUUGUAUAAAAAGUUAUUCCAUACACGAAAUUUUUUAGAUUAAAUUCUUAUUUGAAUUUUUAAAUUUAAUUCCCUCGAAAAAUAUAAUUUUAAAAUAAACGAAUUUUAUUCUAUUGAUAUUAUCUUUUAUAUUAUUUAAUAUGCAUUAUUAGAUAAUUAAAGAAAUAAACGCAAUAAUAAUGGUCAAAUGAUAAUGCAACAGAAAAUAAACAUUACUUUAAAUACAGCUUCCUAGCAUCAAUUGCUUAAUUGUACGAUGUUCCCUUCAAAUUGUAAUACAAUUAAAAUUCUUUGUAUGGAAGGAUAGCCUGAGAUAAGAUAGAAAAACAGAGAAAUUAUCAUGUAAUUUCCAUUGUAUCCUUUCGUGGAAAGCUUGCACUGUAUAGAAAUAUGUCAAUUUGUUGAACGAUUUAUCAGGAGUUAUCGAAUUAUGCAUUGAAUGCCGCGGCGAAUAAUCAUAUUAAAAAACAUCUUUAUGAAUCAUUUCUUGCAUAAUCUAAUUUAACGUUUAAUCUUCAUUUUAAUUAUUGAAAUUCAACGUCACAUAUUUUAUAAACAUUAAUAUUAUCAUCGUCCAUUUGUUUUCUUUGUAGAUUUGACAUCAUUCUUAUCUUAUUAUUAAGUAAGUAUUUUAUAUCAUUCAUCCAUCAUAAUAUGUUCAUCUGAAUCAAAGAGAAACUGAAAAUGUACGUAUACUAUACUUAUCGAAAUAUUGAAAAAUGUUUUAAGUUUAAUUUGAAAAUUUAGCACACAUGAGACGCUAACAAAGACAUACGAAAAAAACAUUAAAUCGUAAAUCUCAAAUACUAUCAUCUUUAAUUUAUUUUUAUCCUUUUAAAAUUUCUUCCAGUCUUCAAUUGUUUCAAAGCAAUAUACAAAGCGUCCCACUUUAUCUUCUUUUCCUUCAAACUAUGCCAAUGUAUCUUAAAAUUGAAAAUAAAUAUUAAAUUGUUGCAUAACAAAGUUUACAGAUAAUUUAUUAAAAAUUUUUUAACGAAAAUAUGAAACGUGCCACUCGUCAACGAAAACGUAACUCAUCUAUUUGUCGUUUCAAUUUCAAAUAAAAUUUACUCAAAUGUAAUUUACAUAUAAUAUUAGUUAAUAAAUUAUUAUGCAAGUGAUGUCAUUAUUUAUAAUAAAAAUUUUUUUACAGAAAA